UACGUAGGGUGCGAGCGUUGUCCGGAAUUAUUGGGCGUAAAGAGCUCGUAGGCGGCUUGUCGCGUCGGAUGUGAAAGCCCGGGGCUUAACUCCGGGUCUGCAUUCGAUACGGGCAGGCUAGAGUUCGGUAGGGGAGAUCGGAAUUCCUGGUGUAGCGGUGAAAUGCGCAGAUAUCAGGAGGAACACCGGUGGCGAAGGCGGGUCUCUGGGCCGAAAUUGACGCUGAGGAGCGAAAGCGUGGGGAGCAAACAGG
rnacentral:rRNA from 1 species